rnacentral:rRNA from 1 species
UUCUAGGGCCACACUACCCUGAACAUGCCUGAUCACGUAUGAGCUUAGAAGCAAAGCAGGGUCAGACCUGGUUAGAACUGGGGUAAGAGAAUUCAGCAUGUUUUACAUA